rnacentral:miRNA from 1 species
GGGGAGAGCAGAGAUAGGAAGAUAGUCCCUGCUCUCAAGGAGCUCACAGUCUAACGGAAGACAACUAAGCAA